CGAUGGUUGCUCGAGUGGCUGAAGAGGUCUGUCUCGAAAACAGAUAAUGGUGCAAAUCAUUCAAGGGUUCAAAUCCCUUACCAUCGGCCA
rnacentral:tRNA from 11 species